ensembl:lncRNA
UAACCAUCUGGCUUCAAGAGGAGCCACUGCUCCUUCGCCCAUCGACAGUUUAUCGUUUUUCCUCUGGGUUUAUUAAUAAGAUACAAUUUUGAAUAAAUGUAGUAAUUUCUUGGUGAGGAAUAGUUCUCACAGGAAAGGAUGUGCACCUCUGUUUCUACCUCCCGUUGUGCAGCAACCACAAACACAGCAGGUAGUCUAGUGGUUAGAGUGUUGGACUAGUAACCAGCAGGUAGCCUAGUGGUUAGAGCGUUGGACUAGUAACCAGCAGGUAGCCUAGUGGUUAGAGCGUUGGACUAGUAACCAGCAGGUAGCCUAGUGGUUAGAGCGUUGGACUAGUAACCAGCAGGUAGCCUAGUGGUUACAGCGUUGGGUCAGUAACCAGCAGGUAGCCUAGUGGUUAGAGUGUUGGACUAGUAACCAGCAGAUAGUCUAGUAGUUAGAGUGUUGGACUAGUAACCAGCAGGUAGACUAGUGGUUAGAGUGUUGGACUAGUAACCAGCAGGUAGCCUAGUGGUUAGAGUGUUGGGUCAGUAACCAGCAGGUAGCCUAGUGGUUAGAGUGUUGGACUAGUAACCAGCAGGUAGUCUAGUGGUUAGAGUCUUGGACUAGUAACCAGCAG